rnacentral:rRNA from 1 species
UGCCAGACUCCUACGGGAGGCAGCAGUGAGGAAUAUUGGGCAAUGGGCGAAAGCCUGACCCAGCAACGCCGCGUGAAGGAAGAAGGCUUUCGGGUUGUAAACUUCUUUUGACAGGGAAGAGCAGAAGACGGUACCUGUCGAAUAAGCCACGGCUAACUACGUGCCAGCAGCCGCGGUAAUACGGAGGAUGCGAGCGUUAUCCGGAUUUAUUGGGUUUAAAGGGUGCGUAGGCGGGCUUUUAAGUCAGCGGUAAAAAUUCGGGGCUCAACCCCGUCCGGCCGUUGAAACUGGGGGCCUUGAGUGGGCGAGAAGAAGGCGGAAUGCGUGGUGUAGCGGUGAAAUGCAUAGAUAUCACGCAGAACUCCGAUUGCGAAGGCAGCAUACCGGCGCCCGACUGACGCUGAGGCACGAAAGCGUGGGGAUCGAACAGGAUUAGAUACCCUUGUA